AUGUGGAAGCCGGCCUGGUGGUGGCGUGUGGUGCCGUCCUGCAUGGCGCCGCCGCUGCCCCUGGACCAGGCCGUCAACAACAUAACGGAGCUCAAGGCGAGGGUCCAGGAUGUGAGCCAGCGAAACAUGCGUUGCAACCUCAUCAAUGACUCUGGGUCCAAGACAUUUGUUGCACAGCCGCAUCCACCGCAUCCACCGAUCACUGGUGCGGCUGAGUUCGACAUGCUUGCCCAGGCCAAGGAUGCGGCCAAGAAGCAGCAUGUUUUAUGGAAGCUCACCGACCUGAUCAAUCGUCAAGACCGUGCCCUUGAAGUGAUCUCCUUGUGGGGAACCGGCGGUGAUCUUGGGAUGACAUCCAUCGUUAGGAAGGCCUAUGUCGACCCUGAGAUCCGCCGAAACUUCACAUGCCGUGCUUGGGUAAAGAUCAUGCAUCCUUUUAAUCCUGACGAGUUCAUCCGGAGCUUCUUGGCCCAGUUGCACGCAAGGUCACGCCAAAAGCAACGACCAAUACUUGGUGUCGACGUUCUCAAGAGGAUGAAGAUGGAGGCAGUGCCAGAGCAUGACCUCGCUGACAAGUUCAUGAGGCAAGUCUGUGAGCAUAGGCCAGUUUGUGCACCGGCCAUCCGUACCAGAUAUCGGAGAUCAGCCAGUUCUCACCAGAUCACUCUGUUUGUAUAUUAUUCAAGGAGAUAA
rnacentral:rRNA from 1 species